CAGCGUAAAGUGAUGAUUUACUUCCACAAGCAUAGUUCAUCUGAUCUAUAAUGAAGACACCAAUGUACCAUCAAACGUCUUUCGCUCCCAUCUGAUAUUUACGCAC
rnacentral:snoRNA from 1 species